GCUAUUUACUUCGUGUUGCAUUCCUCCUAGGCGCUCAACAGGAGAAGUGUAGGACGCCACCGUAGUUGACCUCUCACCUGGACUCCAUCCGACCUCGCCGCAAGGGCCAAGGGGCCUCUCGUAGGUUCUUAGACCACUAAAUAUGUCAGCAUCAAAUGGGAAGUGGAUCAAUGGGGUCCAGUUCUCAUCACUAUUAUGGUGCCGGCACAAACAGGCACAACCCUUGGCCUAUGUUGAGUGCUUUGGUUAGUUCACAUGUGACAGAGAGCAAUUCCCGGAGCAUUAGCUCAGGUACUGUAUCUCUUAGCAUUAUUUGGUAUUUUCUUUGAUAAUAUGUUUCAAAGCUGUUGACCUUCAGAACCUUUACCCUUUACCUUUGCUUGUGUGCAGCUCAUUCAGAGUUGCUAUACAUUCAAAUAAAACCUUUUGGUUGAUGAACUAUUAGUAAAAUAAGACUUAUGUUAGCUACAUGUUAAACUACAUGGAUUUCAAAAAAGAUAUUGACACACUUCUUUUGGCUCAAGAAUUAU